CGGCUUUCCCCAGAAUUCUGCUUGGCUAUGACAAAUCGUGCGUUGUUAUCAUUUCCACCUGUAUUUUGUACACGAGUCUCCCUCGUCUGAUUUUGCAUGAACUGCAAAAAGCUUCUAAACAUCCCGUCGUUCAUCGUCUGCUCGGUGGUGUUGUUUACAGGAGGAACAUUGUCGGCCUGCUGCACGUUCUCCUCAUUGAUGAGUAAAGGUGUCUCCAUGGUCUCAUUUACUCCACUGUUAACAUUCUCAGUCGCCAUUCUCAAAUACUGCCAUAAAACAAGGAUUAAUUAAAGAAAUCAACAUAUCACAUAAUAUCCCUAUAUACUGAACAACCAAUAAAUAAGCUUAGGUAGGACACACUAACGAAGGAUUUACUCGACUCUCCCCUCCUAGUUUUAUUCCCUGAUCUCCGCCAGAGAUCAUAUCCCUAGGCUCUGAUACCAACUGUGAUGCCCCCAAAAUAGGUAUACAACACUCAUUCUGAGUCGCCAGAUACAUGGUACAGAAACAACUACAACUUUAUUAAUACAAUUGUCGCGCAAAAUACGACAACACAUAAACUAUGUGUUUAAAUACAAAUAUUAUCAUCUAGACAAUAUCCCGACUAGUACUCGCUACAUUCUCACCUCCUGAGAAGAAAAAUGGAACAAAAAGGAAAAGGGUGAGCUCAACUAGCCCAGUAAAGAAUAUUAUGACUAAGAUAAUAUACAACAAAUUAUCGUUAGUCUUCAACAGGGAAAAAUCUAAUAAAAUACAAUAGACAACAAGUUUCAGAUCAAUAUUCGCAGCGGAAAUAAUAAUUCAUAGAAGAGUUACGUAGAGAAUGAAAUCUACUAUUAUCUAUGAAUUUAAAAGUCCAUCAUCAAUAUUUUAUCCCUGUAACAUCAAUCAAUAUACAUCUUGAAUCAAAUAUUCAUCUUUGCACUACAGGCCAAAGAUAUUCAUCAGUUGGUCAUGUUCAUCUCAACACCUGUACAUCUUUGCACUACAGGCCAAAGAUAUUCAUAAGAAAAUCAACCAUUUUUGCACUACAGGCCAAAAAUAUUCAGUAAUAUCAUCAUUUAGGACUAAGGAUGAUGAAAAAUAUUUUAAAGACAACGAAUCCAGUGAAACAAAAGAACAAAUAUUAAGGAUUCGUACUUUAUACAAUCCGAGUUCAAAAAUACUUCAUAAAUAAUCAUAGUGGAGUAAAAUUCAAGAAUGAUCAAAAUAUGGAUACAAUCAAAGCUAGUAUCCAUAAUAGAUAUUUUGGACAAAAAAUAAAAAUUUAAUUUUUCUGUGAAUAGUGCCGUAUUCGUGAAUAGUGCCGUAUACGUGAAUAGUGAUGUAUACGUGAAUAGUACCGUAUACGUGAAUAGUAUCCCCGACACUAAAAGAUAAGAAUUUCACAAGAAAAAUCUUACCAAUACUCCGGCAUAAUGAUAUUAGAAGAAGUAAUAUCAUUUUAAAAAAAAAUAACAUCCCUUAUCUUGAAAAGACAGUACUUCUGACUGGAAUACUGGAUAUAGUGUUGAAUGAAACUUGUACCGUAUAUUAACACUCAAAGUCUCAAAAUACUCAAAAGAAUACGCUCGAUAAUAUAGAGAGAGAAAGAGAGGGAAAACUUGUUUCUGGUGUGAUUUUCAAUUCUAACCUAAGCACCCUAUUUAUAGAAAAAUGCUUAGAACACAAAAGCAGAAAAUUUAAUAAAAUAUUAAUUUAUUUAUAUAAAUUUCCUUAGCCCACUUUUUUGGUCAAAAACACCAGCCACCAACCCACCAAAAUAACAAAAAACGUUUUUGUUAAUAAAAUUAUUUAAAACUCCAAAAAUCAAUUCAGACCCAAUAAACCGGAACUUCAAUAAUUCACAAUAAAUAGCCCUUUUAUCAGAAAAAUUCAAAUCUUAUGUCCAUUCCAUAGAAAAUUCAAUUCUCUACAACUUUGUAAGUUUAAGUUUUUCCAAAUUCCAAACAGAAAUUAACUGAAAUCCACAUACGGACGAUUUUACAGGCUAUAAUCAAUUUUCAGUCAAGAAAUGGGGUCCACAAACAUGAAAAACAUGUUUUAAAUAUUUUUAGUAACAAAAAAACACUUCCUCCUCAUUUAUUCAUAUAUCCCACAUUCAUUGUAAAAUAUCACCAUUAUUAUAUUAUUAAAAUAUAAUAAUAUAUUAAAUGAAUUAUUUUAUCGAAAAAGAUAAAAUAUCAAUUUCAACAAUUGCCACAUUAGAAAAAUUUUCUCCAUCUAUAUCCACAUAAAAUGAAUAUUUUCCUUAUCAUAAUAAUCAAUAAUUAAUUAUUCAUAAAUAAUAUUACAGAAUCACAAUACUGACAACUAGGUCGUUCCCAGGAAAGAGGGGGCUUUCCAAUAAGGAUUUCUCCUUAUUGGCGCGCAAUUAGGUGACCAAACUUCUCCUUAGACAGAACUUUUUAGACAUUGCCAAUAAUGCUAUCUAAUAAUAUUAUUUAAAUAAUAUGAAUUAUUGAUUUGAUAAAGGAAAAUAUUGUGCAGUGACAAUUAUUGAAACAAUAAUAAUAUAAAAUAUCAAUAUAGCAAUUAUUGAAUCAAUAAAAUAAAAUAUCGAACAGUAAUUACUAUAACAAUUAUUGAGUAGUGCCUUCUUACGUAAGAAUCAAUAAUUGGUGCAAUACCGUGUGCUACUGUGUUUUAACCACCGGGUAUUCCAACAGUAUUAACGGUAACAACUACGCCAUUUUUUAUAAAUAACUUAUACUUGUCCUUUUCUUCAUCCAAUCACUUUAUGUUAUUGGGCCCACACAAGGCUGCGCCAUCGUAGGAAUAUUCCCCGACAGUAAGAAUAUUCCACGACCAAACGAAUAUUUCCCGACAACAAUGAAUAUUUUAUAACCACUUCCUUAUUUGAAAUAUUUACUCAUUUUACCCGUAACUAACCACAUUAAUCAAAUCAACCCUUACUAUUUCAAAAUAAUAAAUAGAAAAAAUUUUAUUUCAUUUAUUAUAAGUUGGGGUCUUACACUAUCUACUUUGGAAGGCCUCUCUCAAAAUUGUAGAGAGAUCAAAACGUCUGUCGAGCCAACUCAAAGAUCGUAGUGUGAUCUCGAAAGCAUAGAGUCUGCAAAUCAAGUAAGAAAAGAUCGUAGUCUACCGGUGCUUAAGGGAAAUCGUAGUGUUCUCUUCCAUCAGUACCAGAUCAAGCACCAAGGUGGCAAGACACCACGAUCAUGAUCGUAGAGCAUCAUAUGUCUGCAUCAGAAGUAUCGAGUCUUGUUCUUUUGUUUAAGAAUAAAAGUCAUCAAAUGUGGAAUGGAUUAUAGACGUUGAGACUAUCGGGAAUCCCAAUGACAUAAAACGCAUCCUUAGUAUAGAAAGAAGAAACGUAUUGAAGAAGCUAAGGAAAGUACUACAUGUCAGCUGAAAACACCUUUUCAGGUGUUAGGUGAGAUAGCAGUCUGCAGUGUCAGUGGGUCAGACAGCUAGACAUAAGAUUUCCAGAAAGUCACCAUCAGUGCUCAAAAUUGUCAAAUACAAUUAAUGCUUAAACAGAUGUCUUCAAACGGAUACAUUUCAAAGGAACCGUAUAUGCAAAACAGAAGCUGAUGCAAGAAAAUAAGCAAGCAUACAACAAAACGCUGAAGAACACUAAAAAGCUCAACUCUACGAUCUGAAAAGAAAGCUUACUUAGCUACUCAGUUCUUACUCAAUUCUUUCGAACACAAGCUUAACGACAACUGAGUAACAUGAUUCAAGAACUCAACUAUCUUUAAAUGAAGUAAGAAGUCCCAAGUCAGAAGGACUUGAAGAGUUCUAAGUGAACCGACAAGUACCAAGUCUUCUGGACUUGAAGAGUUCUAAAGUGAACUAAGAAGUUCCAAGACUGCUGGUCUUGAAGGAAUCUGUGAGAUUCAAAUAUUAUAAAUAUAUCCUUAGUGGAUUUCCUACUCAAGGAGUAAAAGAGUGGACUAGGAGCCUUGAGUGCUCUAAACCACUUAAAAAUAAUGUGUCUCUUAUAUUCAUGCCAUAACUGCUUAUAUCGUAUCAACUCGCUUUAUCUUGAAGGGAAAACAAACAAAUCUCAAAUUCCGUUGUGAUUAAAUUAUUAUCAAAUCUGACAAGUAUUUUGUAAAAGAAUUUUUAAAAAUAUAUAUUCAACCCCCUUUCUAGAUAAUUAUUGUGCCUCUGGAAACUAACACCAUGCUUUAUUGGAAAGCUAGCCUUCAACAAAUGCUUAUGUGACUUGGGGGCAAGCAUAAACUUGAUUCCUCUAUCGGUAUUCAAUCAAUUUGGAUUACCGGCUCCAAAGCCGACAAAUAUAACAUUAUAACUUGCCGAUAGAUCCAUCACAUACCCAAGAGGUAUUGUAGAAGAUGUGUUGGUCAAAGUAGACAAGUUUAUCUUCCCGGCUAACUUCAUCAUUUUGGACUAUGAAGAAGAUAAAGACAUACCAAUCAUCCUUGGGAAACCUUUUCUAGCCACGGGGCGAACUCUUAUAGAUGUCCAAAAAGGAGAACUGACCAUGAGGGUACAAGAUCAAGAGGUCAAGUUCAAUGUCUUUAAGGCUAUGAAGUUCCCCACUGACGAGGAAGAGUGCUUCCGAAUUGAUGCUGUCGACAAAGUUUUGAAUGAAGGGGCUAGUAAUUUGAUUGGCAUUGAGCCAUUGGAGAGUGCUAUCCUGGGAGAUUUGAAUAUGGAAGAUACUGAGAUUGUAGAGUAUGUGCAAAUUCUUGACACAACACCACAGAUGCAAAGAUUUAAGAUUCCCAUUGAACCACUCAAACUUUAUGCGAAGACAUACGAACGACUCAAGCCUUCUCUUGAGAUGCCUCCCGAUCUUGACCAUAAAAUCCUUCCAGAUCAUUUAAGGUAUGCAUUUUUAAGUGAAUCUUCAAAGUUUCCUAUUAUAAUUGCUGUUGCACUAACAUCUUUCCAGGAAGAUAAUUUGCUACGAGUACUGCGAGAGUUUAAAUCAGAAAUUUGAUGGACUAUAGAAGACAUAAAAGGGAUCAGCCCUUCAUUUUGUAUGCACAAAAUCCUUCUGGAAGAUGAUAGUAAGCCAUCAAUAGAGCAACAAAGAAGAUUGAACCCUAUCAUAAAAGAAGUGGUUAAGAAGGAGAUCUUGAAGUGGUUAGAUACAUUGAUUAUCUAUUGUGACAACCCGAAAAAUCAGAUUGUACAGAAUUUAAGAUUUAAAGAAUUAGUUAUUAAUAAAAUGAAUUUUUAUUAAUACUAUUUUGUGUUAUGUGUUUAUUAAUCAUUCUACAACCUAGGAUGAUUAUAAAUCGGGAGGAUUCUGGCUACGAGCUAGACUGAACGAGUAAGAAUUUUCAAAAUGAAAAUAAAAAAAUUUCGGGAAGAAAAUAUUUCUAGGGAAAAAGACGAAAUAGGCAAUAUUCACCCUACGAAACCCUAAGGGUUAGGGUUUGAAUAACCUAAGCCUUUUCGAGAGUUCGGUAUAUCGAAAUGACAUUUCGUCAAAAGAUUUGACAAUAAUAUAUUGUGAAAAGUUAAGUAAGCCGAUAAAAGUUUUUCUCGAAAAACGUGCAAGAAUCGGAUGAAAUAAAAAUGACGAAAAGUAUUGUUAUGUACUUUUCAUUUGUUUAACUACGUUAGGGGAAAACUUGAAGGAAAACACUUAGCAUCGAAAAGUGUUUUUUAGUUUUUCAGAUAUCUGAACAAUGCGUAAAAGUUAAUCAGUAAAGGAAAGACGAAAUAUCCAAAAAUAUUUGGAUUCCGAGAAUCGCAGUUUUUAAAACUGUCGGACGAAUUCCGCAAGACGGAAAGGGAAGUUUCAUGAAUUGUCGGUCAGAAAAAUGAUCACUAAACACGCGCAAGUAUACACGGUCAAUAAGUAAUAUAAUGAUAAGAAAAGUGUCGAACCCACGAGGAACUAUCACUAAUAUUUACCAAGUACCGACUUUGUAUCACUAAAAUGUUAUUCGAACAUCAAUAAAUGGAAGUGUGUUUAACCUAAGUAUAACUAAUUAUUAAAGCAAGUAAAUGGAUAACGAAUGGAAAAUGAAGGAAUUACAAGCUAAGGUUACAACUUCACCCCACUCAGGCAUUCUGUCGAACACCUGGCGUGUUAUGUUUCAUCAAACUACCUACCCUUCUCUCUCUAGUCUUAAUGGUCACGAUAAUUUGUCGACCGAGAACACACAAGUGCUCAUACACCUCUGUUGAUGUAUGCACAAACAUAUCAUUUCCAGAUCCACCCGAUAGGGAAUAGAUCAGAAAAGAACGUCCAAGCUAGAUACAAUCCUACAUAUGUCUAUGCGAAUUAAUCAUAACAAGGAUUUAAGCAUAAGUUCUCAAAUAGGUCACACUUGGCGUACAGAUAUAUGCCUAUUCUACGCACACCUUAUGCAGUCGAAACCCAUAAUCAUAUGCCAAUAUAUUACAGUGUAAAUCUAUAAUCCUUCUGUCGAUAUCAUGUAAAUUACCAAAAUCAUCACUAAUGUCUUAGCGAGAAUCAUUAAGCAUAAAUAUAUCGAACCAAAUCAUAUGGUGCCAACCAAAGAGAUAAGACAGUCAAUUUAAAUAACAAAGGGUUCCAUUAUAACCUUAAAGCAAAUACUCAGUUCAUAGAAAUUGAACAAAAUAUAAGUAGCAAUAAAGAUAACAUUUAUGGAUUACAAAAUCAGAGACAAUAAAUAGAUAAGAAGAAACUCUGUCAAAGCCCUUCAAUCUCUAAGCAUUCCAUUCAAAUCAAGCUUUCCAAUCCGUGUCGCUCACUGCUCGUGUUGCUCCAAGGAAAACCCACACUUCUCCCUAAUCUAAAUUUACAGAUAUUAACUACGAGCUAGAAAGAGAAAAUACAGAAGAAGAAAACUAAACUGAGAUAUCCUAUAUUAUUCUCUGAUCUCUGUUAUUAGAUGAGAUCUAUCAGAGAUAUCUUAUGCAGAGGCUUGCCCUUCCUUUUUAUAUCCGUCUCCGGUAUUCGCUAGGUCAAACCAAGGUCUUCUCUACCUGGGCACUAGAGGUGGCGCCGUGGCAUAGAUAAAUAACCUGUGAUUGGCGAUGCAGCGCCACAUUAGUAUGAAAGACACGGAGCUCGCGCUGCAGCACGAGUUCAAGAAGGGUCAGAGGCGCUGCAGCGCUAUGGUGACGUCAGCAAGACCAGGGGGCGGCGCCGCAGCGUGAGAGAAAGCCUUGGCAUUGGCGCUGCGGCGCCAGUGUAUAAAAUUUGACCGUUUUGCCCCCUUAAAGCUAGGAAAGUCUUGUAAAGCCCUUCAUUGCAUCAGUUAAGUGCAAUAACACUAUACUCAUAUAAAACUAUAUAAUAUCUACGAAUUCAAGCAAUUAUUUAAGUCAUAAAGUAUUCGAUUCGCGGGUAUAAAUCCCACUCAUCAUGAAUAUUAAGGAGGUGGAAUAGUAAGGAGGUGUGAAUAGUAACCAGAGGGGAGAAAUGACUAUUUUGCCCCUAUCUUGGAAAAUCUAUAAAUAGGAAGCUUUAAUUUUAUUUGUUUAGGAUUUUGAAAAUCCUACAACAUUUGAGAAAGAGAGAGAGAGAGAGAGAGAGAGAGAGAGAGUUUUCGGAUGAGGAAAAAGAGGAAAGGAAGAGGAAAAGCUUGCUCAUGAACAAACUUUGUCCGACGAAAGGAGAUUAAAGAAGAAAGGUAUCGAAAACCUAACUUUCGAAUUAAUUUUCUUUAAGUUUUAUAUGUUUAAAACAUAGCUUAAUGAUAAUAAGAAGUAAAUGAUGUUAUGAAUGAUUUCAUAUGGUUGAAAUCAUUGAGAAAAGAAGAAAUAAGAAUUAAAAUUUUAUUUUAUAAAUUUCUUAAGGAAGUAUAAGAUUCGUAAUGAAUUUGAAUGAUUCGAAUGAAUCAUAUAAAUGAUUCGGUGAAGUAAGUAAGGAAUGGUAUUCUAUAGCAUCAAAUUCCAAGAAAAAGUGAAAUCGUAAUCAAAAUAUAGAUAAAAAAAAUGAAGAACGAACGAAGAACGCGAAGAACGUUGUUGAUGGACAAAUUUAAAACCAUUGUAGUGUAAUUUUUGUUGAUGGACAAGUUUAAAACCAUCGUGUAUAAGUUAGUUGCUUAUUUCUUGGUUAGGAAUGGUAGAAACAUUCAUGAAGAAUGGAUUAAAACUGAGCUAUAACGAAGUUAUAGCAAAAAUUUUGUAAAAGACGAACGAGAAUUAGAAAGUUAGUAAAUGAACCCAAACGUGUAGGGUUUCAUAAGAAUGUAAGAGAACGUAGAUAACAUGAGUCGUGGACUUAAGAAUGAACGAAUUUUUAGUUCAGAUGACCGAAUUACGGACGAACGAACGAAGAACGUUAAAAACGUAAAAUGAAUGAAGGACAAAGAUUAAGCCAAUUGAAAGGCAUGUUAACGGAUUCAAAACAAAGUUUGGUCCAAGGGGGAUUAAAGUAAGUAGGAUAAAGAAGAUAAUGACUUUGGAACGGCCUCGUUCCGAGUUAUAACGAAGAAGUUAUGAAAUCGGGAAGUAAGCGUCUCAGAACAAUUUAUGACUUAGAAAAUAUUUUCAUGGGUUAGGGCUUGGCAUCGUAGCGCCAGCCAUGCCUUGUAAGGUGGAGUUCCAGCGCCAGUCCGGGAGAGCUGAAUACUGGAAACUCACACCGCAACAUGAGUUAUAGCACAGGGAGUGACAACGCGGCGCCAGUGGCGCUGCAGCGCGAGAGAAAAGGGAAGGGAACCGGUGCCGCAGCGCCGGUGCAGGGCAAAGCCCAGUAAUGAGCUUUUAACUGCUCAAAACCUGGGGGAUGUGUAACGAAAGCUAAUUAACAUAUAGUUCAUCAAAAGUAACACUUAAUAAAUUGAUUUAAACCUUUAUUGAAUGUUGAAUGGAAAGAUUGAUCGAGUUAAAAGAUAGAGAAUUUUAGCGAUAGAUUACGGAACCGAUAUUCGGGGACCGUAGUCGCGAUAAACAAACAUGGGGGAUUGCUAUGAUUCUGAUUCCUUAGACGUUGAGUGACGAGGGUAAUGAAUAACAUUUUGAUGUUAUGUCGAGGUAAUGAGAGAUGAGUAUAAAGCGUAUAGACGCUGUAAAUGCAACGUUGUUGCGAUGAACGAUCGGUCUUAGCAUACAAUGAACCAUAUGGCUUCGACAUUAAGGAAGAAUAAUGAAUGGUAUCAAGAAAGUCGUAAUGAACGGUAAUAAGAUUAAUGGAAGCCGGUCGUGAUUCGAAUGGAGAAUGUUAGAAUGAAAUGUAAGCGUUAAACACUUUAACCGACGUGAAGGUUGAGUGUAUGCAAAUACUAAACGGAUAGAACCUACAUCCCGUGUAUGGUUUGACAGUAAGAUAAUGAAGACCAAUGAUUAAACCGUGAACGGUUGUUGACUUGGUCAUAUUCCAACCUUAGGUUUUGAUGAUGACUUUCCUAUUGUACUAAAAUGUUUACUCAUGCAUUUACAGGAUAUUAAAAGAAUUCUUGUUGUUUUGAUUUAUUAAAGGAUUGAAGACAUGAAGGCUUGAAGAAUUGCUUGAGUCAUUAGGAAAUAAAUGUAAGAUCCUAGCUUUAAUUAUUUCUCAAUCAAGGCUCUAGGAUUUGCAUUGCAUUGCAUCAUUAAUUAAUUGUGAAAUAAAUUAAAAUGAUUAAUUAAUUAAAGAUUAAUUAUGAAAAUAUUUAAUUAAGCUUUCAAAAUUAAUAAGGAUCAAAUAUUAAUUAAAUUGGAGUAAUUUUUGAAAAGCUAAUUUUGAAACAUUCCCAUAAUUAAAGGAAUUAAUUUAAAAUAGAUUUUGAUUCUUUAUAUAAAUCUAUACCAUAUAUCUUGGGAUUGAGCUAUUCAUUAUUUUUUCCAUGAUUUAUUAAUUGAUUGAACUUUCCUUAAAAUUGAUUAAGAAAAUAAAUAUUCAUAUCUUUAGAAUCAAUUAGCAUGGAUCAAUUAAUUAGAGUAAUUUUUGGAAAGCUAAUUAGUGAGGGCAAAUCUAAAUAGAUUGGGAUUUCAAAAUAAAUAUGAAAAUAUUUUUUAAAUAUUGAUACUUCUCAUAAUUGAUGGAGUUGAUUAGUAAAUAAGUUUUAAAAAGAUCAUUAUCUUUCAUAUCUCUAACCAAUAUUAUCUCCAUAAAUAAUGGGAUAUGGUGUUUUAUUAUUGGGUUUGCCAUAAUCAUGAAAAUAAUUAAUUAUGGAACAAAUUAAUUGGAGUUUCAAAAUGAAUAUAGAAAUAUUUUUGAAUUGCAUGAAAUUAAUAUGGAAGUCCAUUUAGUAAAUGUAAAUCUAAUUGAUAUAUUUAUUUCAUAUUUAAAGGUGAUUAAAUUGAUUCCAUAAUUAAAGCUUCUAAAUUGAUUUAAUUGAUUCCAUAAUUAAGGUUGCUUAUUUAGAUUCCAUAAUUAAGGAUAUUCUAAAAGUUCCUUCCUUAAAUUAAGCAACGUGAUCUCAUCACUUUAAUAGGAAGAUGUUUGGAAAUAAGAUUUGAAUAAUCUAUAAAAUCUUUCAUUGAUUCCUAAAUGAACAGUACAUCCGUUGGAUAAAAGGAGUUAACAAUUGAUUUACUUUCUUAUUAAAGAAGCUCAUAAUUUAGUGAAGUGAAUUUUUAUUGUUAACUAAAUUAAUGAACAUACUUUAAUUAACAUGAUUCUAUCUUGAGUCAAAGGAAGCAAAAUUAAAGCAAACGAAUAUUUUAUUCAAUCAAAUAUUAAGUUGAUUGACUCCCAUGCUCCUUAAUUGGUUAUAUCUCCAACUAAUAUACCAUGUGCUUAAUUUUAACGGACAUAUAUAUGGAGAUUUACGAAAUCAAUUAUUAACGUCUAUAUAUAUAUAUAUAUAUAUAUAUAUAUAUAUAAAUCUAUCUUGGAAUUAAUUCUUAAUGGGUAACGGCUAAAAUUAGCAACGGGCAAAAAGUUUUCCUAUCUAUAUAUAUGCUUUAGCCGUGGGUUUGAAGUACAGUGAAAAACACCAAGCAGUAUACUAAAAAGUUCCUUUCUGAUACAUCGAUCCUUUUCUUCACAUACAAACUCAUAAACGUUAUUCAAGUUUUUCAAUUGUGAAGAUUUAAAAAGGUUGUUGUGCUACACGAAUUAUAUUCCAGAUUUUAGAGACGGCUAUUUAACUUGGUGAUAUCUUUCAUACUUUGAUCAUUGCAUUCUAGUUGAGCCUUGAAUUAUUGAUAUAAUUAUUUCUUUGAGCAUAGAUUAUUUUGUUGUCAUAUAUUUGAUCAAUUCUCUAAAUAUGUGGUAGACUAAGUUGUUAGUCUAAGGUUUCUAAUCUGGGUUGGAUUAGAGGUUUUGCAAGCAAGUUCAAGGAAGCAUAGGUGCUUAAGGGUGCAUAGGUGCACGGGGAACAAAGGUGCUAGGGAGCAAAGGUGCUCGGGAAGUAUAAGUACUCAAAGGUUUUGAAACUUGUCUUGUAAAGGGAUUUAAUUGUAAACAAAGUUAAUUAAUAAAGAGAGUCUCCAAUACUAGUUUGUAUUGGACGUGGAUUAGGCCACUAAAAUAGAGGAUAGGGGCUGAACCACGUAAAAAUUCUUUGUUUUCAUGUGAUUGCUUAUUGUGCUAAAUUAUCUCAUCAUUCGGCUAUCUAUCCAGCAGGCUGCAUUCUAUAUCUAUAAAUUUACAAAACUAAUUUAGCAAAUUGUUUUCACAUAAUCACAUUCUGAAAAANNNNNNNNNNNNNNNNNNNNNNNNNNNNNNNNNNNNNNNNNNNNNNNNNNNNNNNNNNNNNNNNNNNNNNNNNNNNNNNNNNNNNNNNNNNNNNNNNNNNNNCCCCCCCCCCCUUCUAAGUGUGCCUACUUAAAUUUGAACGGUGAAGAAGCUGAAUUAAAUACAAUGACGUUUAACAUAAAGAAGUCGAUCGUUUUGAGUAUACAAAAGACUGUAUGACUUAGACGAUAAAGCAUGAAUCCUGAGGUAUGACAUUUAGUUGCCAGAAAGCCAUAAGGAAUAAGAAAUUGACUUAAUGAACCUUAUCAUUUAAUAGUUCGAAUAAGUUAAAAUAAGUUAAGUUGUGGUGCAAUCAUAACCUUUGAUAGUUGACAUAUGGGAGCUGGGCUAAACAAUUCCUUCAGAGAGAGAAGGUAUAUACAAAACUGGCAACCGAUGUAACUCACUGUGAUGGCAGUGUAGAUGAGACGGGAACUUGUUUGUUGGUUAUUUAUGGGAAACCAUUCAGAGUACCAUAUGGACUACUAGUAGAGAAGAGAUGUGUGCUGAGUCCUAGAAGAGUUAUAAGAAGAAGAUAAGAAUGUAAAUCAUCAAAGAUGAUGAACGUAUGAGUAAGACUUCUCCGUAUGUCAUAAAGUCGGAAACCGAUAAUGAAAGUUGGUCGCGUAAACUUAGUUUUUGGAAGAACGCAAACCCUAAGAAGUAAAGUUAAGUAAACCAAUGCGUAAGUCAAGUAUAUAUCUAAUUGGUGUAUGUGUUAUUUCCUUAUAUGUUAUAGGGAUUGGAAUGAGCAGUUCAGCGUAAGUUAUAGUUGUGUGUAAGGCAAGUUUGCUAACUUCAUUCAUAUUCUAAAUGAAUGCUAGUUUCUAAAACUUCUCAGAUGUUAAACUUGAGAAGUUCUGUCUAUAUGCAAAUGUGUGAUAUUUGUACAAGGUGAUAGAACGUAUGAGGCCUUGCGCCAUAAUGUGAACACUUCGGUGUUUCUAUGAGAUGAACUAUUCUGUGAUUGAACUGUUCAAUAAGAGAAUGUUCUGUUUAUACAUGAACCAUUAUUGUUAAGUCUGUGCUAUUGAUUCUAGCUAGACAUGAUAUGUAUGGAAAAGGUAGAAGGAUGAACGUAUUUCAAAGUGAAUGUGAAUAAUAUUUUAAAAUGGUAGGAAUCGAGAUUAUUCCUAUUAUUCAAGCUGCUUCAUAACCUUUGCUCAGUUAUCGAAGUUAUAAAGGAAUGUUUGAAUUCUUAAAGUUAUUUAUUCAACUGCUAUGACUUGCUGAGCAAUUGAAUGCUCACACUUGCUUUAAAUGAAAAACAUGUUUAGCGUACGAGUAGAAGAACUUAAGAAUCCCGUAAAGAUCAAACUGAUCGGUAUCCAGAUAGAAUGUCAUUCAUUAGAUGAAUGAGCGUAAAGAUCAAGCGAAGACUUGUAAUACAGAAUAAUAUAAUUAAACUAUAGAAUAGUUUAAUGAACAGUUAUGUAUCCUUGGUGGCGGAUGAAAGUCACUCGUGUAAGAUGAAAAGAAUAAUGUAAUUAACUAUAUUUGUAAUGAAAGAGGUUAUAAGGUAUUAGAACUUGGGAAUUGAGAAUAUAUGUUGUUAUAUUUCAUUAUAUAAUGAUGUAUGUUUGGAAAGAAGUGGGACCGUGACGUACGGAAUUCAGGUAUGAAGAUAGACCGGAUUUUGGGGCGUUACAGAGUGGUAUCAAAGCUGAUAGAUUAUAAACCUUAGGUAUGAGUACCUAAGGCUAUAAUCGUAGAGAGAAGGAUAAGAAGAUUGUUGAGUUAAACGAUUAAGGAAGAAGAUCACCACGUGAUCAUAGUAAAUCGUAAUAACAGAUGAUCUGUUAAACGAUGAAUGAUUUAUAGCUAAUGCUAUUAAUGAAUGGAACUACAAAGUAGUACGGGAUGAAGAACUCAGAUUGAGAUGUAAGGAUAGCAUACGAAUUAAAGAAAAUUCGUAUUAAGGAAAGAGAAAAUUAGAAUUAUAAAAUUUUAAUUGAGGACUCAUGUGAUAGUUGAGUUGUAUGAAUCUCUGUUAUGGACUGAAGGUUUGUGCUUGGUGUAACAACUGCUCAGUUUAUUACAGUGAUAAUCAUUGGAAUUGGUUGCACUAUCAAUAUGUAUAUAACGAGAAGGUGAAUCUUUUCUCAUGUAUAUAUUUGAUAGGUAGAGAACGAUAAGGUAGGUUCGAGUUCUUGAAACUCAUACUUAUGGUAGGUUCGUGACUCAUAAGAAUAUGGUAUGUUUUUGAACUUCUCAGCGAAUGGACGCCUAUGGUCUGACUGUGAUAGUUCUUAAACUCAUUUUAUUGUGGAAAGUUCUUUAACUCAUAAUGUGUGGUAAGUUGAUGGACUGUACUAAGGUAUAGGGAUGGUUAGACUAAAAAUGAGUUAUUUUCAGUAGAAUUAGCAUUGAAGGUGCUAGAGAAGAUUAGGUAUUGUCGCAAGUAAGACGAUGAAGGAAGAUGGAGAAUAGGAUAUUGAAAGUCAUCUAGCUAUGCUAGAUUUCGAAGUUUAUUAAAAUCGUGCUUAUGUGUGCGCGUUUUGAAAAUGAAAGAAUUUGUUCAACUUUUGGAACCAAUGGAUUUUAAAAGAACUAUUCUUGGUAUAUCUAUGCUAAUUGUUUUGGCUAGACAUGAAUUGAUUUGAAAUAUCAAAAUGAAUUUUAUAACAUCAGUGCAUUUGAUGCCACGAUGGUAAAAGGAUGGAGUUAUUAAUGCAAUUGAACCUGGUGUUGGAUGUGAUCUUAGGAUCAACAACCCACUAUGAUAUGAUGUAUAAUGACGAAGUCAUAAACUGACAACGUCCUCAACGUACUAUGAAAAGUACGGUAUCAUGACGUCAUAAAAUUUUUUCAUGUAUUGCGAAAUAAUUAAAAGAAGUAGUCGAUGUCAAUUAAUUUGACUAGACAAAUGUUUCAAGUUAAUAUCCAAUUUAUUGGUAUGGUCUAAGCUACUUGAUUUGGCUAAGACAAAUGGUAUGUUAUGAUUAAAAGAAAAUCAAGCUUUCUUUGAAGAAGUUGUGCCAAACCAAAUUACUUUGGUACGGAAUCUAAUGAUUAAGUCUGAGGUGAACACACCUCGAAAUGGGGUUAUACAAUGGGUUGAUCCCCUACAUAUGAAAGAUGUAGUUUACUUUUUGUGUGAUUGUAAACUAAUCGUGGAAGAAGGUUUAUAGCGUCAUGCUGUUAAACCUAGUAAGAGUUCAUGGUCAAUUUGACCCCUCAGCAAAAGUAUGAAAUGUUUUAAAGGAAUUCUUAUAUUUCUCGUUAUUCAUUCUACUUCAUAAUUCUUGUUAAGUUAUGAAGAUAAGAGAAUGUUUGAAAGAUAAGAACUUCUUUGAAGAGAAGUUGAGAAGAAGGGUAGGUUAAAAUUUCGAGGAUGAAAUUAUGUAAAGAAGGGUGAAUGUGAUGACCCAGGAAUGAGUGUGGUUUUAGAAAUUCCGAGGAUGGAAUUUUUAUAAGGGAGGAAGAAUGUGAAAACCCAAAAAAUCGGAUUGUCCAGAAUUUUAGAUUUAAAGAAUUAGUUAUUAAUAAAAUAAAUUUUUAUUAAAAAUAUUCUAUGGUAUGUGUUUAUUAAUCAUUCUAGAACCUAGGAUGAUUAUAAAUCGGGAGGAUUAUGGCUACGAGCUAGACUAAAUGAGUAAGAAUUUUCAAGACAAAAAUAAAAAAUUUCCAGGAAUAAAAUAUUUCCGAGGAAAAGGACGAAAUAGACAUUAUUCAUCCGACAAAACCCUAAGGGUUAUGGUUUGAAUAACCUAAGCCUUUCCGAGUUCGGUAUGUCGAAAUGACAUUCCAUUGAAAGAUUUGAUGAUAAUAUAUCUUGAAAAGUUAAGUAAGCUGAUAAAAGUUUUUCUCGAAAAACAUGCAGGAAUCAGACAAAAUAAAAACGACGAAAAGUACAGUUAUUUACUUUUCAUUCGUUUAACUACGUUAGGCAAAAAUGUGAAGGAAAAUGAUUAGCGUCGAAAAGUAUUUUUUAGUUUUUCGGAGUUUCAAAGAAUGUGUAAAAUUUAAUCGGUAAAGGAAAGACGAAAUAUCCAAAAAUAUUUGGAUUCCGAGACUCGCAGUUUUUAAAACUAUCGGACGAAUUUUGCAAGACGGAACCACGAAACUUCCAAGGGAAGUUUUGUGAAUAGUAAGGAAGUGGAAUAGUAAGGAGGUGUGAAUAGUAACUAGAGGGGCGAAAUGACUAUUUUGCCCCUAGCUUGGAAAAUCUAUAAAUAGGAAGCUUAAUUUCAUUUGUUCAGGAGUUUGAAAAUCCUACAACAUUUGAGACAGAGAGAGAGAGAGAGAGAGAGAGUUUUCGGAUGAGGAAGAAGAGGAAAUGAAGAGGAAAAGCUUGCUCGUGAGUAAACUUUGUCUGACAUAAGGAUAUUAAAGAAGAAAGGUAUCGAAAACCUAACUUUUGAAUUAAUUUUCUUUAAGUUUUAUAUGGUUAAAACAUAGCUUAAUGAGGAUAAGAAGUAAAUGGUGUUAGGAAUGAUUUCAUAUGGUUGAAAUCAUUGAGAAAAGAAGAAAUAAGAAUUAUAAAUUUAUAUUAUAAAUUUCUUAAGGAAGUAUGAGAUUCGUAAUAAGUUUGAAGAUCUGAAUGGAUAAUAUGAAUGAUUCUAUGAAAUAAGUAAGGAAUGGUGUUCUAUAACAUCAAAUUCCAAGAAAAAGUGAAAUUUUAAUCAAAAUAUCGAUUAAAAAUGAAGAUCGAACGAAGAACACGAAGAACACGCGAAGAACGUUGUUGAUGGACAAAUUUAAAACCAUCGUAGUGUAAAUAUUUUUGAUGGACAAGUUUAAAACCAGAGCGUAUAAGUUAGUUGCUUAUUGCUUGGUUAGGAAUGGUAGAAACAUUCAUGAAGAACGGAUUAAAAUUGAGCUAUAACGAAGUUAUGGAAAAAAUUUUGUUCAAGAUAAACGAGAAUUAGAAAGUUAAUAAAUGAACCCGAACAUAUAGGGUUUCAUAAGAAUGUAAGAGAAUAUAGAGAACGUGAGUCGUGGACUCAAGAACGAAUGAAUUCUGAGUACGGAUGACCGAAUUACCAACGAACAAACGAAGAACGUUAAAAACGUAAAACGAACAAAGGACAAAGAUUAAGCCAAUCGAAAGGCAUGUUAAUGGAUUCAGAACAAAGUUCGGUGUGAAUAGGAUUGAAUUACGUAAGAUAAGGAAGAGAAUAACUUUAGAACAACCUCGUUCCAAGUUAUAACGAAGAAGUUAUGAGAUCGGGAAGUAAGCGUCUCAAAACAAUUUAUGACUUAGAAAAAAAAUUCAUGGGUUAGGGCUUGGCGCCGCAGCGCCAGCCAUUCCUUGUAAGGUGGCACUGAAGUGCCGGACCUGGAGAGCUGAGAACUGGAAACUCGCGCCGCAGCGCAAGUUAUAGCACAGGGAGUAACGCCGCAACGCCAGUAGCGCUGCAGCAUGAGAGAAAUGGAAGGGAACCAGCGCCGCAGCGCCGGUUCAGGGCAAAGUCCAGUAAUGAGCUUUUAACUGCUCAAAACCUGGGGGAUGUGUAACGAAAGCUAAUGAGCAUAUAGUUUAUCAAAUGUAACACUUAAUAAUGUGAUUUAAACUUUUAUUGAAGGUUGAAUGGAAAGAUUGAUCGGGCUUAAAAGACAGAGAAUUUUAGCGAUAGAUUACGGAAUCGAUAUUCGGGGACCGUAGUCGCGAUAAACAAACGUGGGGGAUUGCUAUGCUUGUGAUUCCUUAGACGUUGAGUGAUGAGGGUAAUGAAUAACAUUUUGAUGUUAUGUCGUGGUAAUGAGAGAUGAGUGUAAAGCGUAUAGAAGCUGUAAACGCAACGUUGUUGCGAUGAACGAUCGGUCUUAGCAUAGAACGAACCAUAUGUCUUCGACAAUAAAGAAGAAUAACGAAUGGUAUCAAGAAAGCCGUAAUAAAUGAUAAUAAGAUUAAUGGAAGCCGAUCGUGAUUCAGAUGGAGAAUGUUAGAAUGAAAUGUAAGCGUUAAACACUUUAACCGACGUGAAGGUUGAGUGUACGCAAAUACUAAACGGAUAGAACCUACACCCCGUGUAUGGUUUGACCGUAAGAUAAUGAAGACCACUGAGUAAACCGUGAACGGUGAAGAAGCUGAAUUGAAAAUAAUGAUGUUUAACAUAAAGAAGUCGAUCGUUCUGAGUAUACAAAAGACUGUAUGACUUAGACGAUAAAGCAUGAAUCCUGAGGUAUGGCAUUUAGUUGCCAGAAAGCCAUAAGGAAUAAGAAAUUGACGUAACGAACCUUAUAAUUUAAUAGUUUGGAUAAGUUAAAAUAAGUUAGGUUAUGGUGCAAUCGUAACCUUUGAUGGUUGACAUAUGGGAGCUGGACUAAACAAUUCCUUCAGAGAGUGAAGGUAUAUACGAAACUGGCGAUCAAUCUAACUCACUAUGAUGGCAGUGGAGAUAAGACGAGAGCUUGUUUGUUGGUUAUUUGCGGGAAACCACUCAGAGUACCAUAUGGACUACUAGCAAAGAAGCGAUGUGUGCUAAGUCCUAGAAGAGUUAUAAGAAGAAGAUAAGAAUGAAAAUCAUCAAAGAUGAUGAACGUAUGAGUCAGACAUCUCCGUAUGUCAUGAAGCCGUAAACUGGUAAUGAAAGUUGUUCGCGUAAACUUAGUUUGGAAGAACGCGAACCCUAAGAACUAAAGUUAAAUAAACUAAUGCGUAAGUUAAGUAUAUGACUAAUUGGUGUAUGUGUUAUUUCCUUAUGUGUUAUAGGGAUUGGAAUGAGCAGUUCAGCGUAAGUUAUAGCCGUGUGUCAGGCAAGUUUCCUAACUUCAUUCAUAUUCUAAAUGAAUGCUAGUUUCUAAAACUUCUUCGAUGUUGAACUUGAAAAGUUUUGUCUAUAUGAAAAUGUGUGAUAUUUGUACAAGGUAGUAGAACGUAUGAGGCCUUGUGCCACAAUGUGAACACUUCGGUGUUUUUAUGAGAUGAACUAUUCUGUGAUUGAACUGUUCAAUAAGAGAAUGUUUUGUUUAUACAUGAAUCGUUAUUGUUAAGUCUAUGCUAUUGAUUCUAGCCAGACAUGAUGUGUAGGGAAAAGGUAGAAGGAUGAACGUAUUUCAAAGUAAAUGUGAAUAAUGUUUUAAAAUGAUAGGAAUCGAGAUUAUUCCUAUUAUUCAAGCUAUUUCAUAACCUUUUUUCGGUUAUCGAAGUUAUAAAGGAUUGUUUGAAUUCUUAAAGUUGUUUAUUCAACUGUUAUGACUUGCUGAGCAAGUGAAUGCUCACACUUGCUUUAAAUGAAAAAUAUUUUCAGCGUAUGAGUAAAAGAACUUAAGGAUCCCGUAAAGAUUAAGCCGAUCGGUAUCCAGACGAAAUGCCAUUCAUUAGAUGAAUGCGCGUGAAGAUCAAGGGAAGACUUGUAAUGUAUAAUAAUGUAAUUAAAUUAUAGAAUAGUUUAAUGAACAGUUAUGUUUCCUUGGUGGCGGAUGAAAGCCACUCGUGUAAGAUGAAAAGAAUAAUGUAAUUAACAUUAUUUGUAUUGAAAGAGGUUAUAAGGUAUUAGAACCUGGGAAUUGAGAAUAUAUGUUGUUAUAUUUCAUUAUCUAAUGAUGUAUGUUUGGAAAGAAGUGGGACCGUGACGUACGGAAUCCAGGUAUGAAGAUAGACCGAAUUUCGGGGCGUUACAUCUAUCCUAUUUCAGACAGCUCUUGGGUGAGCCCGGUGUAGUGUGUGCCAAAGAAAAGGGGUAUGAUAGUGGUAUCUAAUGACAAUAAUGAGUUAAUACCUACCAAGACAGUUACGGGUUGGAGGGUCUGCAUGGACUACCGCAAACUGAACAAGGCUAAAAGGAAAGAUCAUUUUCCUCUCCCGUUUAUUUAUCAAAUGCUGGAUAGGUUAGCAGGUCAUGAAUACUACUGCCUUCUGGACGGUUACUCUAGAAAUAACCAAAUAGUGAUAGCCCUGGAAGACCAAGAAAAAACUACCUUCACUUAUCUGUAUGGUACAUUUUCUUUUAGAAGGAAGUCUUUUGGUUUAUGCAAUGCCCCGGCUAAAUUCCAAAGGUCCAUGAUGGUCAUUUUCUCUUAUAUGGUUGAUUGUAAUGUUAAAGUCUUCAUGGACGAUUUCUCAGUUUUUGGAGAUUCUUUUGACCUGUGUUUGGAGAAUUUUGUAAUGGUGCUGAAAAGGUGUGUUGAGAUAAAUCUCAUUUUAAACUGGGAAAAGUGCCAUUUUAUGGUACAAAAGGUAUUAUUUUGGGACAUAAGGUAUCGAGGAAAGGAUUAGAGGUGGACAGGGCUAAAUUAGAAACUAUUGAGAACUUACCUCCACUUACUUCUGUAAAAGGCGCCCGUAGCUUUUUGGGGCAUGCAGGUUUUUACUGUCGGUUUCUCAGGACUUCUCAAAGAUUACCAAGCCACUUUGCAGUUUGUUAGAAAAAGAUGUCCAGAUUAGAUUCGAUGAGGAAUGCAUGACUACUUUUGAGCAUUUAAAAAACAAGGUGACUACGGCACCAGUGAUUACAGCUCCAAAUUGGGAUCUUCCAUUCGAGUUGAUAUGUGAUGUAAAUGAUUUUGCUGUGGGAACUGUAUUGGGCCAGCAUAGAGACAAGGUCUUUCAUGUUAUCUAUUAUGCUAGUAAGACCCUUAUUGAUGCCCAAUUGAACUACACUACUACAGAAAAAGAUCUUCUAGCGAUAGUAUACGCAUUUGAUAAAUUUCAUGCUUAUUUGAUUGGAACAAAAGUGAUUGUAUACACUGACCAUGCAGCGAUCCGAUACUUGAUAGCUAAGAAUGAUGACAAACCCCGUCUGAUCAAGUGGUUUCUUCUUCUACAGGAAUUUGACUUAGAGAUCAAAGACAAAAAAGGGACUGAGAACCAAGUUGGCAGACCACGUAUCUCGAUUGGAGAAUACAAUAACGGAUACAAAUAACAAAGUUAUGAUCAAUGAAUCCUUCACAGAUGAACAAUUGUUUUUGGUGAAAGGCGAAGUGCAAUGGUUCGCAGAUUAUAUAAACUUCCUGGUGAGAAACAUCAUUCCCUCUAAGUUGACUGGACAACAAAAGAAGAAGUUCUUCCACGAUGUGAAAUGUUUUAUUUGGGAUGAACCUUACUUGUUCAAGCAAUAUGCUGAUCGAAAGAUUAGAAGGUGCAUUCCAUAUAGUGAGAUGAAGAGUAUAUUGCAGGAUUGCCACGCAUCAGUUUAUGGGGGUCAUUACGGGGGAGAAAGAACUGCGCCCAAGGUUUUACAAGCAGGUUUUUACUGGCCGACUCUCUUCAAAGAUGCUUAUAGCUUUGUGCAAAGAUGUGAUAGAUGUUAGAGGGUAGGAAACAUAUCAAAACAAAAUAAAAUGCUUUUGAUUACAAUCCUUGAGCUGGAGAUCUUCGAUAUCUGGGGGAUCAAAUUUAUGGGGCCUUUUAUUUCAUCAUAUGGAAACUUGUACAUCCUUUUGGCAGUUGAUUACAUGUCCAAAUGGGUGGAAGUGGCAGCUCUACCGACAAAUGACGCUAGGGUGGUUCUAAGGUUUCUUCAAAAGAACAUAUUCACAAGAUUUGGGACUCCUAGGGCGAUCAUAUGCGAUGAAGGUAGCCAUUUUUGUAAUCGCCAGUUUACAACAUUGUUGGCUAAAUAUGGGGUGAAUCAUCGAAUAGCUAUGGCUUACUGAUAAGUGGUAUUUAUACCUACUUAUUGAAUACCAAUUCAUGCGAACUAUGUCCAUCUCAAGUACAUCUUAUUGUGUUUUAGUUGCAUUUCGUGUUAUUUUGCAUUGUAUUUACUUAAAACUCCUUUUGGUGAAUAAGUGCAGGAAUCGGCCUAAUUUGGUGGUACUAGAAGGCACGAAGUUAAUGGACGCAUGAGGCAAGGCAAAAGAUGGAAUAUACAUGGUUGAGGAUUAAGUGGAGCAUAGAUGGACAAGCAUGGGUGGACAUAGGACACUUCAGUAGCAGCAACAACAAUGCAGAACCAAACUAAGGAGCAGAACCAGAAUUCACCAACUGUAAGCCGCGCGGCCGCGCUGGAGCUGCUGAUUUGUUUUAUUUUAAUUUUUAAUUAAAAUGAUUGUAAUGGGUUUUAAAACGAUAUCUGAUUGGUGUCAGACAUAACUUUCGGUACACUUGGAUAAUUUUUGACGUAUUUUCAUCGUAGUAACUAGGGUUUACACGUGAGAGAGAUUCCAACGAAGAACGAAGCCAAAACUCCAUCUUCUCUAUUUCUUCUUGGGAUUCUCCAUCAUUGUGGAUUAUUAAUAUUGUUUUUUCUGGUUUUAUAUAAGGAUUUGAACGUAGACAUUGGUUUGCAAUCUACAAUUGGGUUUGAUCGUUCUAUCUUUCAUCUUUCAAUUAUUUGUUUGAUAAUCAUGUUUAGCGUUGAUCCCAUAAUGGCUUUUGGUUCAGUCAUGAACAAAACUCCAUUAUAGGAUUCUAACGGAUUUUAAUAUGUAGUUUGGUUGCAUGCUUGAUUGCUAGGGUUAUUUUACAUAUCAUAUGGGAAUUCUAUUAUGGUUGUUUUACAUGUAUGAAUGCUUGAUCACCAUUCAUUUCAGUAUUUGCAUGGAAUUGACAAUGAACAUGCGAGUAUGGAUUGUAGUCAUAAUAGCAUACGUAUAUGGGGUUUUUGUAUAUGGCUUGCAUAUUUUGUGAAUGAGAUAGACAUAUACUUAUUCACCGUAUGAGCUAGAAUAAGGGCUUGUGCUUUAAUUCAGUAUGAUUGUAAUUUCACAUAGACAUAUAGUGAUUUUGGUCAUAGUGUUGAUUACAUAGAAUCUAUCAUCUGUGGAUGAUGUGUAAGUAGGUCCUAGUGCAUUGAAAAAUGGCUAUGACUCUACUAGUGCUCUUGGCUAUUUGCCUGUGAUAUGUGAACACUUCUUGCAUGAUAGUGGUGAUUAGAUGAAAUAUUAAAUGAAUUUAGGAUCCCAUUAUUUUUAGAUUUGAUUUAUUUCAUUAAUAUUCUUAUUUUAGUUGUUAUUUGCAAUUAGUUUAAUUCACUAAUUAUAGUCGUUAGUCUAAGCAUAUGAAUAUAGUGAUUUAAUUGAUGCAUAGUAGUUUAAAUUUGACAACUUUUUCUGUGGGAUCGAUACUUUACUUACUCUGUAUUACUUGUUGACGCAUGUAUGCUUGCAUGAGUUAGAGCACUUUUGUCGUAACUGAAAAAGAGGCAACAAGUUUUUGGCGCCGUUGCCGGGGAAAGCGUUUAGUUUAAAUAAUUAUCAUCAAUUUUAAGCUGCUUUGUAUGACUUAGACAUAGCUAUUCUUAUCUCAUUUCUAUUUUUGUUUUAUUUGUGAUUUCAGGUACUUGUAGAUUUUUAUGCACACGAGAUCUUCCAAUUCAGAAUUAAAACCAGCGCAGGAUAACAUUAACGAGAGAGGUUGGAAAGCAAGUGUGCGGAGAAAUUUACAAGCUCGGUUAGAAAGUACAACAUUUAGCAUGGCAGAAGAACAAAGGAUUGAGCAAAGAGAAGAGCAUUGGGCUCUACGAGAAUAUUCCAUGCUGAAUAUAAAUGGGCUACAGUCUAGCAUAGUCAGACCGGCGAUAGCAGCCAACACCUUUGAGAUUAAACCGGGAACUAUUCAGAUGGUGCAGAACUCGGUUCAGUUUGGGGGUGCUGCCAUGAAUGAUCGCAAAGACAAAUCGCUGAAAUAUAUAUAUAUAUCGACAUGGUGUCGAUAUCCACAAAGACAAAUCGCUGAAAUAUAUAUAUAUAUGAGCGAUUUAUCUUUGCUGCCACCAAAUUAUUCAUGGUGUUUGAAUUUCCUUUUAGAUAAUUCUCAUUACAUACAUGUUAGAAUAAUAUCAUCAUAAUAUUUAAAAUAACCUAAACACAUUAACACACAAUCCUAUUAGUCUAUAUAGCACAUAAGACCUAGUAUCAAAUCAAACUAUUUCAGUCUGACUUGAAUCUGACACAAUUCUAACAUCCCGACGGUCUAGUCGGACAAUUCACGAGUUUAAGUUCAAUUAAACUCUGCCUUAACACUUAACAAUUAUCUUAGAUAAUCAUAUUAUUAAUCAAAAUAAUUUUCCAAGUCUCAUAAUAAUUUUCAAUUAAUAAUUAUCAUUUAAAAUGAUUUUCCAAUCAUUAAUAUCGUAUUUAUCUAAUUUAAAUACCACAAUAUUCUAAUAUCAUUAAUAUUUAUUUAAUAUUAAAUAUUAAUGAAAUACAUGCCAAAAUAUUAUAAUAUAUUUAUAAUAUCUCAUAGUAUUUUUAAUACUUUAUUAUUUCCUUUAAAUGUUUUUAAAGUAAUUAAAAACAUUAUUCAAUAACUGUUAUUAAUAUAAAUACCACANNNNNNNNNNNNNNNNNNNNNNNNNNNNNNNNNNNNNNNNNNNNNNNNNNNNNNNNNNNNNNNNNNNNNNNNNNNNNNNNNNNNNNNNNNNNNNNNNNNNNNNNNNNNNNNNNNNNNNNNNNNNNNNNNNNNNNNNNNNNNNNNNNNNNNNNNNNNNNNNNNNNNNNNNNNNNNNNNNNNNNNNNNNNNNNNNNNNNNNNNNNNNNNNNNNNNNNNNNNNNNNNNNNNNNNNNNNNNNNNNNNNNNNNNNNNNNNNNNNNNNNNNNNNNNNNNNNNNNNNNNNNNNNNNNNNNNNNNNNNNNNNNNNNNNNNNNNNNNNNNNNNNNNNNNNNNNNNNNNNNNNNNNNNNNNNNNNNNNNNNNNNNNNNNNNNNNNNNNNNNNNNNNNNNNNNNNNNNNNNNNNNNNNNNNNNNNNNNNNNNNNNNNNNNNNNNNNNNNNNNNNNNNNNNAUAAUUUAUUUAAUAUAUUUAUUAAAUAAACUAAUUACCAUUAAUAUUAAUUUAUUAAUGAAUUUCAUCACAAAAUAUCAAAAGUUAUUAAAAAUAACUUAAAAUAUUUUCUUAUACCAUAAUAUAAUUUUUUAUGAUUUUUAAAGUAUUAAAAUCAUUUUUAAAUAAUUUAUUUAAUAUUAUAAUUAAAUAAAUUAAAUACCAUUUAUAUUUCAAAAAUAUUAAAUAUUUAUGAAAUAUACUCUAAAUAAUUAAAAACUAAUUUUCAGGCUUUAAAAUAAUUUUUUAUAAUUUAUUAUGUAUUUUUAAUAAUUUAAAACUAUUUUUCUCUAAUUAUUUAUUAAAAUAAUUAUUUUCAGAAAUUAAGUGUCGCUAUUGGGGCUUUAGGCGACAAAUCUGUCGUUGUUGGUGUUCUUGUCUCAAGAACACUGACAAAGUCAGUGUUCAAGGUGCUGGGUUUGACCACCAAUAAUUCUCAUUACAUACAUGUUUUGAGCCUGUUUAAAUGUUUAUCGUGUAGUAGGUUUGCAACACUACAAUUAACAAUCAUCAACCCAGUCAUAUAACAUCAUGUCAUGAAAUUCUAGGCUCUCAAACCUACUGUCAGAGGCCUGCUGGGUCUUCUGGGUUACCUAAAAACCCAGACAGGUUCGAGUGCUCACUAUGUGGCUCAAAUAUCUUAGGGUUCUGGUCAUUAGUUAAAUGUUCUGAAGGUUUAAACAUGUAGUACUGAUGCAGGGCACCAUAAUAUAUCAUCAUAUCAGUAUAACAACAACAUUAAAGUAAGAUUUGAGCUGGUCAAAGUAGGCCAGAAAACCAUUCUUGAACAUUUCUGGGUUUUCUAGAAAUGUUCUUGAGCAGUUUGGUCAACGGUUGUUUGACCACAAAUUUAUACGAUUCGGUUACGAAUCUGAGUGAUCUAAAGCAUUUAACAUGUAGUCUUCAUGUCAGGCUACAACAACAACACAAUAACUUGGCUAAAACAUUAACAUAAAGCAAGAUCAGGGGCUUUAAAAAUCUUGUCAGACCACCUUGAAAAAUUUUGGGUUGCCCAGAUUCAAAUUUUCGUGCUCGGUCAACGCACUUUGACCGAUCAUAUCUCUCAUUAUAAACAUGAUAUGGGCUUGCUUCAAGUUCCAAAUUAAAGCCCUUAUUACAAAGAACAGAUCUAUAACAUAAAACACCACUAACACCUAACACAAAGAGAUCUAUGAACCCUAACAUUCGGUUGUCAGACCAAAAUUUAGGGUUCAUAGAUCAGUUCUAAAAACUUUAAUUUCGAGCAUCAAAAGGAUAUGGAUCUAAGUUUUAGCAAUCCAUAUCAUCAAAUGACACCCUCUAACAUGACUUAUAACAACAAAUUACAACAUCUAACAUAGAACACAUGGAUUUCAAAAUUUAGGGUUUUUAUACUUUUAAAAGUUUGAUUCUGAUUUUUGAUUCUUGGUUGCUGAUCAAGGCUUGCUAAGACAUGAUAUUAGCUUUGGUUCACUCUCUCUCUCUCUCUCACUCUAAAAUUUCAAAUUUUUAGAGAGAGUAGGGUCUUGGUUGCUUUGCUAAAUAAAGUAAGAGAUUUUCUUACUUUUUAAUUUCUAAGCUUUGAUGCAAUGUAUAAGGAUGAUAUAUGGGCUGAUUGCUGAGAUUUGUAGAACAUGCUAGGGCUAGGGUUGGUGAACAACUCGCCUAAGGUCAAAACCUACAAACCAACUCAUUACAGAAUUGUAAAAAGGGCAUUAUAAUAAUUUUGUCCAACAUUUUAAUGGCAAAUUUGUAACAUAUACAAAUCCUUAGGGUUAAAACCUAAGGUCUUAAAAAUUCAUUUUCUAGAAUUUUCUAAUUAGAUUUUAAAUUAGAAAAUUAUGAUUUCUAAAUUAUAAUUAGGAUUCUAAAAAUAUAUUAAGAUUUCCUAAUCAUGAAAUUCAAUCUUACUAAUUAGGAUUAUUAUUUCCUAAUUAGAAUUGCUAAUUUAGCAAUUAGGGUGGAAAUUGUACAUUAUGAUUUAUAACCCAAGAAUUAGGAUUUUAAAUAUAAAAAUAAUCUCUCUAAUUUAAAAAUUAGAUUUCCUAAUUAGAUUAGGGUUUUCUAAUUACUUAUAACUUGAAAAUUAAGAUUGAUGUUUCCUAAUUAACAGUAAAAUUAUUACAAUAACAAUCAGGUUUUCCUUAAUUAUAAAUUAGGGUUUCUAAACCAAAAAUUAGGAUUUUCUAAAUCAAUUUAGUGUUAUCCCUAAUUAGGUUAUCAUUAAUAACGUUUAAACCAUAUACCACUACAAAAAAAUGGGGUUUCAGCAACAACCAAUUUUCGUUGCUAAAGGUGCCAAAUUUCGUUGCAAAAGGGUUUUGGCAACGACUUUAAUGUCGUUGCGUCUUUCGUUGCGCAAUGAGCAUUGCUAAUUGUUUCGCAACGAAUGUUUUUUUUUUGUUGCCAAAAAUAAUACAUUUUGUAACAAAAUUUGAUUUUCGUACAGAGACAUCGAUCCUUUAGCAAUAAAAUGUAUUGUUGUAAAAUAAUUAAAAUUUCGUUGCUAAAAACAACAUUUCGUUGCAAAAGCCUACUAAUUGGCAACGAAAUGAACUCUUUUUUUUCGCAACGACCAUGCAUUUUCGUUGCAAUUGACACCAUUUUGCAACGACAUUUUUCGUUGCAGUAAAUUAUGAAAAUUGUUGCCUAAGCUUGCUUUCGUUGCGGAAUGUAAACUUUUUAGCAACGAAAGCAAGCUUAGGCAACGACAUUAUGCUGAAUCAGCAACAAAAAUGUUUGUUGCUGGUUAUUUUUCAAUAGCAACAAAAGUCGUCGAUUAGCAACGACAUUAUAUGUUGUCGUUUCUUUAUAUGUGCAACGGAAGUUGAUAUGAUUUGCAACGAUAAAAAAUGUUACCUUUUAUGUUAGUAUUAGCAACAAUAUCCUCUCUGUUGUUAUUAAGUUAAUUUUUUGUUGCCAAAUAUUAUAUUUUUAAUGCCAUUAGCAACGAAAAUUUGUUGCUAAAUGUAUAAAAAAAAAUUUGCUAUAUUAAAACUUGUUCAAUGCUUUGGUAACGAAUUAUAUUGUUGCCAAAUCAAAAUUUGACAUUCUUUUUGUGUACCUGGCUGGCUCAAUGUCCCCAUAGCAAAUAAUGACAAAAAUACAAAAAACUAAAAUAUUAUUAACUUAAUAAAAUCAUCCACUACAUAAUCAUUCCUUAUCUUUACAAUUAACCAUCUAAAGCUACCACAGUUCUUCAAUCAAAGUAUAUAUCUACAUAUAUAGAGAGAGUACACUUCAUAACUUCGUCCCUUGUCUUCCGUAAACGUAGCACGGAAGUUUGAUACCCAAUAUUGUAAGGCAGGUCGUAGAAGCAGUCUUCCUGCACAUUUAAAAAUAAUAGCAAGUUAGAAAAAUGAAGCAAAUAGGUCACCAGAGGCACUUAAUACCAAAAUCAAUACACAAAGACAAUAGAGUUGCUACGUGGUACUAAUAUUAUUAAACCAACAGACAACCCACAAUAUUUAUUAAAUGAUUGAGCAUAUAGAAAGAUUUCAGACUCCUUCAACUGACUAAAUAAAAUGCCUUAAACAAGAUAACAUGAAGUACAUACUAGUUUUACAAACAUACACAAGAAGGUACCAUGUGCAAUGUGCAUGUAUAAGAUUACAACUAUAAAUAAUAUGGCACUCUUCUCGAGUCAGAAUGGAAUGUUGCUACAAUCAAGAUAAUCCGAAACUAUAAAUAAUAUUUCUGGGCUUUUCGGGAAGUGAAUGGUUUGUAAAUGAUACUCAUGUUUCGUUGUGACUCGAUAUUGAAGGAGGAAGGGGACUCACUUCAAUACUUCAUGUCUCAAAACAAUAGUGUCAUUACCGAGAAAUCAAUGAAACAGAAAAAGCCAUAGCCAAUACUUCCACUUGUGUUAUGUAUGUCCCCUUGAGGUCAGCCGUAGGUACAAAUAUUCAGUUUACAGAUAUAUCAUAAUCAUCCUCAAGAAUACUCCUCACUGCAGAAAUGAGAAUCCCAUUUGACUUGUAACUUUAUUUCACUCAUUAAGGUUUGUAAUAGACGUAUUUAAACAUAAACUUUAUAUGAUUUCUUCGAUAUUAAAUUUUUAAGAUUAGAACAUGGAAUUAAAAAAAAUAUGGAAAAAGUUGUGCUCAUCCUAAACAAAUUUCAAUAUGCAAUGAAUAAAAUAUAUAAAAGUCGGAUGGCACCCUUUUCGAAUUAGAGGGAGGACCAAGAAUAUUUAGUAUGGAAGGGAAAUUUGAAAAUAAAAAGUUACAUAUGGUUAGCCAUAUGAUGUUGAUAAGUACCUGAAGGACAACAGCAGUAGAAGAUAAUGCCAAACCAUUCCCAAUGACAAGGGCAGCAGGACCUGCCUGUCCAGAAACAAAAUGAGCAGCCAAACCAACCACUACUGCUGUGGCCAAGACCUGUGUUAUGCACGUUAAAACUUUAAUUAGGAAAAUGGUGCAUCAACUCCAUAAAAUGUUCUUUGACAAGGCCACACAAAAAGGAUAGUGUUUGGGAAGUGAUGAUCUCACUCACCUGAGCAACAGAAAGAGAGUGAUGAACAACCUGAAAGCAACACCACAAUCACAGUCAUAGUGACAUGCUAACAUGCCCAUAAUAUGGCUGCUAUGUGUUAAAUUGUAUGCAUAAACUGAUCCCUGUUCCUGAAAUAGACCAGAUCUCUUUCAAAUACCCACCCAGUCUAACAACACACAAUGUUAGUGAUCUUUCUUCUUUUGGUACAGAAGUUUUGUUUUGGAGUAAAUGUGCUGUUAAUAUUGCCUCAGCAUCAUAAUAUUCAGAAUUUUUGUUGACAUUGAAAUGAUGCUUUGACCUACUGCUGUUGGCAAGAUAAGUAUUGUAAGAUCUUCUCAAAAUCCAGAAUUUGAUGUGCCACCAUGUUCAUAAUCAGAGGUAAGCAGCAUACUUACUGAUCUGAGGCUGACGAGCAUGUCCGGACGAAAAUGGUAAACAUUCAAUUCCUUGUGUAGCCACAGAAAGGAAAGAAACCAGUGGUAGAUAUGCAUUUCUAAAAUUAUAUUCAAAACGAGUGUCUGAAUCACCAUUCAUUGAAGAAAAUAACAUAAGCUAAAGUUGAUUAACAUCCUUGACAAUAUACUUACAUACUCUAUUCCACCCAAAGCAGGAUAUAGCCAGCAUAUCAUCCCAAGGUCCGAAAGGAAGUACCCAACAGAAACCUGCCAAAAUCAGAUUCAAAUUGUUACACGGGGCUUCUUACAAGAAAUUACACGAGGCAAUCUAAAUGAAGCGAACUUGAGAUUGCUUUUAAGAUAAUCAAAAAGCAAUGGCGUAUAGGGAGUUGCAGCCUAAUAUGUUUCACAAAUAUGUAGAAGACUCCUGCUCAUAGGAUUUUCAUUUGGCAGUUUGGGUCGUGGCGAAAUGAAGAAACACUUCUCAUUCUCCUACAUUGAAGCCAAUAAACCGUAAAAUCAAUAAAGAGGCAUAGAGCCAUGUGCCACGGUAGGCUUACAAAGUAAGCAAUGAAUGAGGAUUAUAAUAGCUAUUGUUAAGCUGAGGAGAGACCUGGAUACUACUAUCCAGGCAAGGUAUCCCCAGAGAAUACUAACAAGGUCGCAGAGAAGAGGUGCUUGCAAGCAUAGUGCUCCCACAAAUGAAAACCCAAAAAAGAAAAGAAGGGGGACACAUAACAGCAGCACGAAAGUCACCCAAAAUAAUGUUCAUAAGAAGUCUACAGAAACAACAGUCUGAUUUUUGGUGUGAAAUCCACAAAACACCUUAAACGAAACGAAACAUAGAUGUGUUAUUUUACAUAUGGUAACUUAGAUAAUAUCAGCAAGCUCAAUUUACAUCAAGGAAUGUUCUCCUUGAUAGAUGUCUAGAAUUCAGCUCCUUGUGAAGACUCUCACUAAUUGGACAAGUUGUGCACAUUUUCUCUGCUAAUAGGACAGAAUGGGUGGUGUUAUAGAGAAAUUUUGUGAAAGAACAGUAAUAGAAAGAAAGAAGGGUCAAAACAUGUGCUCACGAACUAAAAAUGAACUAAACAUGUUUCUUCAUAGAACUUAGUCUUUCAACAGAAAGCUGCAAAUUCUCGAGUCAGAAUGGAAUGUUGCUACAAUCAAGAUAAUCCGAAACUAUUAAAUAGAAAGAACUGCAUUUCUACUCAGAAUACUGUCGCAUACCCAUUGAAAUAUGAUCUCAUAAACUUGAUAAAAACAAUCUAUUAGUCCGGGCCCUUUCUAGAAUAGAACUGAUGGUAAUAUGAUAAACCUGAACUGCAGUCCCUUUCUUCGUCCCCACCCCAACCCUAAAUUGAUUCUCAAAAGCGUUCCACAUACCAAGACGUGUUGGUCAAGUCGAGCGACAGGCGUAAGGUGAACGGACAACAAAGAAGUGCUGAACUUGCACUUGAAAUAUUUCGAGUAAAAUAUGGACAGUAGUCGAGAAAAGACACUUUGUUCUUCCAUGGAGCUUUUGGUCUAAUAAAGUUUUCUAGAGCACUCUUGCAAGAAACAAUAAAUUUUGUUUAUAUAUACUUAAGCCACUAACCUUUACAACCAGAAGAGGAUAUGUGACGACUGUAGCUCCAAGUUUAGCCAAAGCACCAAGAAGAAAUAUCUAGCAAUAUAACAAGCAAUGUGUUCAGUACUUGCAGUCAAGUUAAAAAUGGUGGAAUUGGUAUAGCAAUAUGGAAUGAGGAAAUGUCCAAAAUAUAUCCAAGAGAGGGUGCUCCUAAAACUUCAUAAACUAGAUAUUACUUGCCUCCAAAGCAGUUACUCCUUUGUUAAUGUUUUUACUCGAAGCCCGUUUUUGCUUCAGCUUCUUCAAUAACGUCUCGUACAACAUGAAUUGCAAGGAAGGAUUGCUUACCUGCAGGUAACAGUGAGAGCACUCAGUGACCACUCUGCAGCAUGUAUUAGUGUCACUUUCCACCUACCUUUAUCAAUGUUGGUAAAACACCUUUCCAGAAUCCCCAUAAUCCAGCUUCGUCAUAUAGUUCCUGAAUCUGCAGAAGGAAUAAUUCUCAUUCAAGUAUAUAAGUCACAGACCACGGAUCACAUUAUCAGGAAGCUAAGUGAGAAGACACAUUGGUUACAUUGCACAUUCUAAAUAACACAGAAAUGCAAGUACACUGAAAAUGAAUCUUCCUGACAAAAUCUUUACUCUAGAUAAUCUUCCAAACUAUAAUUUUUCUAACGUGGCCAUUCACUGCUUGAACUAUAAAAUUGGCAUAUAUCUAUCCAACAAGAUCUCAUAUCAUUAACAACAGCUACGAAAUGGAAUCAUGUUGCAACAAGGUCACCGAACAAAUAGAACAAUAUAAGAGAAGACGAACAUUGUUUAAUAAUUGUUUGAUUAUUAAAAUGCAACCAAUUAGCUGCGAGGUAAAUAGAACAUAACAAGUUUUAAUCCCAAUAACCAAAUAAUAUAGGAAUUAAAAGAAUAAGAGAAGUUAAAACAAUUUUGCGACUCACCACAACAGAGCAUAUUCCAGGGAAUAGACCUGCACAGGUAAUAUCUCAGAUGAGAUGCUCAUCAUGGCUCCAUGUGUUGCAACUUUCUACAUUAUUAACCAGACCAGUGUCCUUGAGUAAAUAAAAGAACUGCUUCCGAAGAGAAUCUAUUUCUCUUAGAGUUGUGCAGAAAGGAAGUUUCUCCAACAGUAUUCAUAACCAGCUUGACGUUUCUCAGCAUCAUUCCAACCAUCAUAAGCCCGAACAAGAGCACAAUCUUUAAUACACCACCCCCCCAUUUACCCUGACCAAAUCCAUAUACCAGUCUUUAAUAUGCAUGUAGGAUACAACAAUUUGUUGACAAGAACUCCAGCUGUUGUAUCAUGACACUAGAGCAACAUUUGCAAAAACACAUCAUAAGAGUCGUGAGAACUUUAGAAUUGCAGGUCCUAAUUUGAUGAAAGAUGAGGAUUUCAUUAAACAGACCAAGAAAAUCUACAUUGAAACUCCAUAUGCUAGCCGGUACAAAGUACUAUACAUCUAUAACCCAUCCAUUACACUUACGGAAAAGGGAAAUAGAAAAAGAAAAUGAAGCAAGUCAAUUCCUAUGAGGGGCUUCUAUCACAAACAAGACAGAACUUGAAUUGUUAACCAUAUUUCAAUUCUCAAUCCAAGUCAAGAAUCCCACAAUUAGAAAUUUGCUUGGGAGUUCUCUAGCUGAUGGUGCAAGGUAUGUGAUUUUAUUCCUGAAAACAAUAAUUACAAAAAGGAUACAUAAAACCAGAAUUUAAAUAGCAGAUGCAAAGUUUCAAACCUUUGGGUGUCAAUGUCUGUCACAUAGACGAAC
rnacentral:lncRNA from 1 species